UACGUAGGGGGCGAGCGUUGUCCGGAUUUAUUGGGCGUAAAGAGCUCGUAGGCGGCCUGUCGCGUCGGAUGUGAAAGCCCGGGGCUUAACCCCGGGUCUGCAUUCGAUACGGGCAGGCUAGAGUGUGGUAGGGGAGAUCGGAAUUCCUGGUGUAGCGGUGAAAUGCGCAGAUAUCAGGAGGAACACCGGUGGCGAAGGCGGAUCUCUGGGCCAUUACUGACGCUGAGGAGCGAAAGCGUGGGGAGCGAACAGG
rnacentral:rRNA from 1 species